rnacentral:tRNA from 2 species
GCGCCGCUGGUGUAACAGAAAGCACGGCACUUGACCAGAGUGCAAGACGCGGUUUAAACCCGACGGCGGCGCUCCA